rnacentral:rRNA from 1 species
AACGAACGCUGGCGGCAUGCCUAACACAUGCAAGUCGAACGAGACCUUCGGGUCUAGUGGCGCACGGGUGCGUAACGCGUGGGAACCUGCCCUUAGGUUCGGAAUAACUCCCCGAAAGGGGUGCUAAUACCGGAUAAUGUCUUCGGACCAAAGAUUUAUCGCCUUUGGAUGGGCCCGCGUUGGAUUAGCUAGUUGGUAGGGUAAAAGCCUACCGAGGCGACGAUGCAUAGCUGGGCUGAGAGGCUGAUCAGCCACACUGGGACUGAGACACGGCCCAGACUCCUACGGGAGGCAGCAGUGGGGAAUAUUGGACAAUGGGCGAAAGCCUGAUCCAGCAAUGCCGCGUGAGUGAUGAAGGCCUUAGGGUUGUAAAGCUCUUUUACCCGGGAUGAUAAUGACAGUACCGAGAGAAUAAGCUCCGGCUAACUCCGUG